rnacentral:rRNA from 1 species
GACGAACGCUGGCGGCGUGCCUAAUACAUGCAAGUAGAACGCUGAAGAGAGGAGCUUGCUCUUCUUGGAUGAGUUGCGAACGGGUGAGUAACGCGUAGGUAACCUGCCUUGUAGCGGGGGAUAACUAUUGGAAACGAUAGCUAAUACCGCAUAACAAUGGAUGACACAUGUCAUUUAUUUGAAAGGGGCAAUUGCUCCACUACAAGAUGGACCUGCGUUGUAUUAGCUAGUAGGUGAGGUAACGGCUCACCUAGGCGACGAUACAUAGCCGACCUGAGAGGGUGAUCGGCCACACUGGGACUGAGACACGGCCCAGACUCCUACGGGAGGCAGCAGUAGGGAAUCUUCGGCAAUGGGGGCAACCCUGACCGAGCAACGCCGCGUGAGUGAAGAAGGUUUUCGGAUCGUAAAGCUCUGUUGUAAGUCAAGAACGAGUGUGAGAGUGGAAAGUUCACACUGUGACGGUAGCUUACCAGAAAGGGACGGCUAACUACGUGCCAGCAGCCGCGGUAAUACGUAGGUCCCGAGCGUUGUCCGGAUUUAUUGGGCGUAAAGCGAGCGCAGGCGGUUUGAUAAGUCUGAAGUUAAAGGCUGUGGCUCAACCAUAGUUCGCUUUGGAAACUGUCAAACUUGGGUGCAGAAGGGGAGAGUGGAAUUCCAUGUGUAGCGGUGAAAUGCGUAGAUAUAUGGAGGAACACCGGUGGCGAAAGCGGCUCUCUGGUCUGUAACUGACGCUGAGGCUCGAAAGCGUGGGGAGCGAACAGGAUUAGAUACCCUGGUAGUCCACGCCGUAAACGGUGAGUGCUAGGUGUUGGAUCCUUUCCGGGAUUCAGUGCCGCAGCUAACGCAUUAAGCACUCCGCCUGGGGAGUACGACCGCAAGGUUGAAACUCAAAGGAAUUGACGGGGGCCCGCACAAGCGGUGGAGCAUGUGGUUUAAUUCGAAGCAACGCGAAGAACCUUACCAGGUCUUGACAUCCCGAUGCUAUUUCUAGAGAUAGAAAGUUACUUCGGUACAUCGGUGACAGGUGGUGCAUGGUUGUCGUCAGCUCGUGUCGUGAGAUGUUGGGUUAAGUCCCGCAACGAGCGCAACCCCUAUUGUUAGUUGCCAUCAUUCAGUUGGGCACUCUAGCGAGACUGCCGGUAAUAAACCGGAGGAAGGUGGGGAUGACGUCAAAUCAUCAUGCCCCUUAUGACCUGGGCUACACACGUGCUACAAUGGUUGGUACAACGAGUUGCGAGUCGGUGACGGCAAGCUAAUCUCUUAAAGCCAAUCUCAGUUCGGAUUGUAGGCUGCAACUCGCCUACAUGAAGUCGGAAUCGCUAGUAAUCGCGGAUCAGCACGCCGCGGUGAAUACGUUCCCGGGCCU